rnacentral:rRNA from 1 species
CGGUAGCGUAUGCUAAAGUUGUUGCAGUUGAAAAGCUCGUAGUUGAAGUUUUGGUGGGUGAGACCGGGCCGUUGCCUUCGGGCUCUGAUUGUCUGUGUCUUGCUAGCCAUCUUCGGGGUGUUUCUUUGAGGUGCCCCGUCUUUUACUGUAAAAAAAUUAGAGUGUUCCAAGCAGAAAGUAGUUCUGAAUCUGAUAGUAUGGGAUAAUGAGAUAGGGCUUUUGCGCUAUUUUGUAGGUUUGCACGCAGGAGUAAUGAUGAAUAGGGACAGUUGGGGGUAUUCGUAUUUAAUUGUCAGAGGUGAAAUUCUUGGAUUUAUGAAAGACGAACGACUGCGAAAGCAUUUAUCAUGGAUGUUUUCAUUAA